rnacentral:tRNA from 1 species
GACGCCCUGGCCGGGCUCGGUGGCGCCGUUGCCGCCCUUGGUGCGGACGGAGACCUGGACGUCCUUGUAGCCGCCGAGUUCGGACUCGGUGGCGUCG